GGAUGUGAGGGCUAUCUAGCUGCGACAUCUGUCACCCCAUUGAUUGCCAGGGUUGAUUCGGCUGAUCUGGCUGUCUAGGCGGGUGUCCCCUUCCUCCCUCACCGCUCCAUGUGUGUCUCUCCUGAAGCUGCGCGCUUGGUCUAAGAGGACGGCCUUCCCCGAAUAGAGACAGACCAGUCUUUGGUCGAGGGUAUACAUAUGAGAAGCUGCGCUCCCUUGCUAGAACCUCCAAACAAGCUCUCAAGGUCCAAAUGUUGGAGCUUUGCUCCCUCCUUCCUCCCUUCC
rnacentral:snRNA from 1 species